UACAUAGACUGCAAGCGUUAUUCGGAUUCACUGGGCGUAAAGGGUGCGCAGGCGGCCAAGUGUGUGAGGCGUGAAAGCCCGGGGCUUAACCCCGGAAUUGCACCUCAAACUACAUGGCUAGAGCAUUGGAGAGGGUAGCGGAAUUCACGGUGUAGCAGUGAAAUGCGUAGAUAUCGUGAGGAACACCAGAGGCGAAGGCGGCUACCUGGACAAUUGCUGACGCUCAGGCACGAAAGCGUGGGGAGCAAACAGG
rnacentral:rRNA from 1 species